UUGGACAGCUGAUCGACAGAAAAGUACAUCAUUAGAGUCAAGGGCAUUUCGCAGAUGCAUAGAUUAGGAAGCAGAUCCUCCCUUUAAGAUAUUGAAAAAUAUCAUGUGGAAAGAGAAGCUGUACCAAGCUGUGCAAGCUGGAAUAGCAGGUCCGUAUGGGGAUAAGGAUGUGGCUCACGUGCUCCAGCAGAAACCUGUCCAGCUCUUUGUAGGUGCUGUGGAAAACGCAGCCUCGUCCGGCCUGCAGGGC